GAUGAACGCUAGCGGGAGGCCUAACACAUGCAAGCCGAGCGGUAUAGAGUAGCUUGCUACUCUAGAGAGCGGCGUACGGGUGCGGAACACGUGUGCAACCUGCCUUUAUCUGGGAGAUAGCCUUUCGAAAGGAAGAUUAAUACCCCAUAAUAUAUGAUUCGGCAUCGGAUUAUAUUGAAAGCUCCGGCGGAUAGAGAUGGGCACGCGCAAGAUUAGAUAGUUGGUGAGGUAACGGCUCACCAAGUCAGUGAUCUUUAGGGGGCCUGAGAGGGUGAUCCCCACACUGGUACUGAGACACGGACCAGACUCCUACGGGAGCAGCAGUGAGGAAUAUUGGACAAUGGGUGAAAGCCUGAUCCAGCCAUCCCGCGUGAAGGAUUAAGGACCUAUGGGUUUGUAAACUUCUUUUGUACAGGGAUAAACCUCUCCACGUGUGGAGAGCUGAAGGUACUGUACGAAUAAGCACCGGCUAACUCCGUGCCAGCAGCCG
rnacentral:rRNA from 1 species